rnacentral:rRNA from 1 species
UGGGGAAUUUUGGACAAUGGGCGAAAGCCUGAUCCAGCAAUGCCGCGUGUGUGAAGAAGGCCUUCGGGUUGUAAAGCACUUUUGUCCGGAAAGAAAUCCUUGGCUCUAAUACAGUCGGGGGAUGACGGUACCGGAAGAAUAAGCACCGGCUAACUACGUGCCAGCAGCCGCGGUAAUACGUAGGGUGCAAGCGUUAAUCGGAAUUACUGGGCGUAAAGCGUGCGCAGGCGGUUUGCUAAGACCGAUGUGAAAUCCCCGGGCUCAACCUGGGAACUGCAUUGGUGACUGGCAGGCUAGAGUAUGGCAGAGGGGGGUAGAAUUCCACGUGUAGCAGUGAAAUGCGUAGAGAUGUGGAGGAAUACCGAUGGCGAAGGCAGCCCCCUGGGCCAAUACUGACGCUCACGCACGAAAGCGUGGGGAGCAAACAGGAUUAGAUACCCUGGUAGUCCACGCCCUAAACGAUGUCAACUAGUUGUUGGGGAUCCAUUUUCCUUAGUAACGUAGCUAACGCGUGAAGUUGACCGCCUGGGGAGUACGGUCGCAAGAUUAAAACUCAAAUGAAUUGACGGGGUCAUAGCUGUUUCCU